AAGUCGUAACAAGGUUUCCGUAGGAUCAUCCUUCCCUAGCGAAGCCUUGGGUGUGCACGACUAUAAAUAAUGCCAACACGGUCCUUAAUUGUCAAGGGCGACGUCACAUAAAUGCUGGGAUCCUUGAAUAACAAGGGGAUCAGCAGCCAGAUUUUGUAUUUGGUCCACAGAUUAGACGGUGACGGUCAAGCAGUGAAGAGAUGUUGGUUGAAACUUGACAGAGUCGUCUCUGAAGAGUCAAUAAGUCGUGCACGUAUGUGUGUACGUUCUUACACCAAGCUUCUUGUUUGAUUAAGAUAUAACCGGUUUACCGUUAUGCAGCGGUGAGAGAAACGUUCCGUAGGUGAACCUGCGGAAGGAUCAUUAUCGAGUUAGGGUCCUUUGGGCCCCAUCUCCAACUCUUGUUUAUCUUAAAACGUUGCUUGACGGUGCCCCUGCUCGCAGGUGUUCCGCCGGGGAUUCUGUCCCUGGCUUGCGCUCGUCAACAGCCACUUUUAAAUUCUUUCAACCAUGUCGAAUCCACGAUAGAAUGAUUAAAACUUUCAACAACGGAUCUCUUGGUUCUGGCAUCGAUGAAGAACGCAGCGAAAUGCGAUAAGUAAUGCGAAUUGCAGAAUUCCGUGAGUCAUCGAAUCUUUGAACGCACAUUGCGCCCUUUGNAUUCCGAAGGGCAUGCCUGUUCGAGCGUCAUUAUCAACCCACAGCUCGGCUUGCANUUGGCUCCCGCCGUGGCGACUCCGGCGGACCCAAAAGAUAUACGCAGAGUCUGGAGUGACCCUGGAUGCAGCGAGCUUCCAAGCAUGCAUUCUCACGGUCUUCUCGGCCCAGUCUAUAACAAUUUAUUUCAACUGGUUGACCUCGGAUCAGGNAGGGAUNCCCNCUGAACUUAAGCAUUCAAUAAGCGGAGGAAUAGAAACCCACAGGGAUUGCCUCAGUAACGGCGAGUGAAGNGGCAACAGCUCAAAUUUGAAAUCUGGNUCCCCUUGGGGGUCCCGAGUUGUAAUUUGUAGAGGAUGCUUCGGGCAAGGCCGCGGUCUAAUUUGCUUGGAAACAGCGAGUCACAGAGGGUGAGAGUCCCGUCUGGACCCGUGCGCCGCGUCCAUGUGAAGCUCCUUCGCCGAGUCGAGUUGUUUGGGAAUGCAGCUCUAAAUGGGUGGUAAAUUUCAUCUAAAGCUAAAUAUUGGCCAGAGACCGAUAGCGGACAAGUAGAGUGAUCGAAAGAUGAAAAGCACUUUGAAAAGAGAGUUAAACAGUAUGUGAAAUUGUUGAAAGGAAAGCGCUUGCAAUCAGACUUGCGGGUGACGGCUCCCCCCCCCCCCUUCGGGUGGGGCUACUCCGUCACUUCCAGGCCAGCAUCGGUUUGGGUGGUCGGUCAAAGACUGCGGGAAUGUAUCUACCCUCCGGGGUCGACUUAUAGCCCGGGGUGCAAUGCGGCCCACCCGGACCGAGGAACGCGCUUCGGCUCGGAUGCUGGCGUAAUGGUUGUAAGCGGCC
rnacentral:rRNA from 1 species